GCGCUGAGAGGGACCGACGCCAUGGACCUCCUCGAGAAGAUGAUGGCGCUUGGUAUGACGUGGUGUCUCGGUAGCAUUUGCCGGCUCAUCACUUUGCCAUCUGUGCACCUGCUUGAUUAGAUGUCCACCUAGGGUUUUGGGUCUAGUGCGGAAACAGGUGCCCACGCGGGGUACGGCGCGGAGGAGGACGACGAGGUGGGGUACGGCGGCGGGGGCGGGGAAGAGAUGGAUGAGGAUGCGGACGGGGACGCUGAGCAGCAGGAGGAUAUCACUCAGGACGACGCCUGGGCCGUCAUAUCCGCCUACUUCGAGGAGAAGGGCCUCGUGCGCCAGCAGCUCGAUUCCUUCGACGAGUUCAUCCAGAACACCAUGCAGGAGAUUGUUGAUGAGUCCGCCGACAUCGAGAUCCGCCCCGAGUCGUAGCACAACCCUGGCCGCCAGGCCGAAUUUGCCGAGGUUGUUGCCCCACUCUGAUCGAUUGUUACAAGUGAUGCCUGAAUGGUUCACUAUUUGCUGCUGCUAGACUGGGCGAUUAGCCUGGGGUGCUGGGGGAGCUUGGUAUGACGUGGUGUCUCGGUAGCAUUUGCCGACUCAUCACUUUGCCAUCUGUGCACCUGCUUGAUUAGAUGUCCACCUAGGGUUUUGGGUCUAGUGCGGAAACAGGUGCCCAAUUUUAUGGCUGAGGAUGAAUUUUGCACCGACAUAGGUGGACAGGGGAUUGUGGAAUUGUUCAGUUCUACUAGUGUCUAGAAUAGCUUCUGCUGAAGUUCCCUCUGUGUGAUAUAUGGUAGGGAAUUCUUGAGUUUGACAAGGAUAGCAUAAAAGAUUCCAGAGUGAGUUUUGUAUUGAUCAGGACAUUUGUAGUGAUCUUCAGUUGGUACUAGUAAUAUAUGGAGUUGAUCUUAUGAUGAAGAUAGCACGUCUCAUGUUUCGUGGGUUUUGAA
rnacentral:lncRNA from 1 species